rnacentral:rRNA from 1 species
GACGAACGCUGGCGGCGUGCUUAACACAUGCAAGUCGAACGAUGAAGCCGGAGCUUGCUCUGGUGGAUUAGUGGCGAACGGGUGAGUAACACGUGAGUAACCUGCCCUUGACUCUGGGAUAAGCGUUGGAAACGACGUCUAAUACCGGAUACGAGCUAGGACCGCAUGGUCACUAGCUGGGAAGAAUUUCGGUCAAGGAUGGACUCGCGGCCUAUCAGUUAGUUGGUGAGGUAACGGCUCACCAAGACGACGACGGGUAGCCGGCCUGAGAGGGUGAGCGGCCACACUGGGACUGAGACGCGGCCCAGACUCCUACGGGAGGCAGCAGUGGGGAAUAUUGCACAAGGGGCGCAAGCCUGAUGCAGCAACGCCGCGUGAGGGACGACGGCCUUCGGGUUGUAAACCUCUUUUAGCAGGGAAGAAGCGCAAGUGACGGUACCUGCAGAAAAAGCACCGGCUAACUACGUGCCAGCCGCCGCAGUAAAAC